UAUACAUGGCUAGACAAAAUAGACAGCCAGACACAAAGACAGACGGAGGUGGGGAGGGAACGGGACUCGAACGGAAAAAAAGAUAAGAGCAUCGUAGCCUGGCGUGCGUGCGUGAGUUCGCGUUUCGUUGGGCCUCCACCACUGAUAACGUUAUCACCGAAGGAAAGCCGAGAGAAAAAAAGAAAAAAAAAAAAAAAACAUAUAAGGAGCAUAUCCACGAUUUCCUUAAGGCUUUUCCCCAAGCAAGAAAGCAAAAGGCCCGAGCAACAAGCAGGCAGGGCGGCAGGCAGGCAGGACACCCAGCUAUGGCGGCCGACAUGGCAAGGUGUCAGACAACAGCUGGUGGAAUGAGUCACCGCCGCUGGCUACGACGCAGGCACGAAGUUUACCGUAAAAAGAUAAUGUUGAUAAUGAACAAUAAUGCACUAAAUGGUUAGAUGAACACGAGAUGAUUCAGAUGAGGAUGUAUAAAAAGAGAAUGCAUGAGUCAGGGGAUUUAGGUGUGUGUGUAUGUGUGUGUGUGUGUGUGUGUGUUUGUGUGUGUGUGUGUGAUGAAUACUGAAUGUAUAAUCUAUUGUAUAUUUUAUGAAUAUAAUCGUACUUAUCAGUUUAGAGAGAUAUAGAGAUAGCCACCUAAAAAUUCGCAUUAUUGAUUCUUUGAACGAAUGAUAACCAACAUACUAUUGAUAAAGUGCACCAAUCCGCAAAUGAACGAAUAAACACAUGAAGAACCUGAGAGUAGGAGACUCAAAAAAGAAAGAAAGAAUAAAAAAAGGAAACAGCUAAUGUUAUCCUAGUCUAGAGCAUAAUAUUAUGAACGCUGGCAGACACAGCAGACGUCACCAGACUAAUCCUGGCCAAAGAAUAGGCACUGGGACAGAGAGGCGUAUAACAAGAGCCUCUGGACUAGCGCAAUAAGGCACACGGCCUCUUACAUGUAAACUAAAACCCACGCCCAAAGCAGUCGUCUCGGAGGAAGCAGCAGACCUCCAGCCAGGACAUAUGGCAGACUAAGAUAACCCGAUGUAAAUAUGGAGAGGUAGAUGUGGCGCCAGGCGGAGUGUCUACCAAGCCAGACACGCGCAAGGCCACAAAAAAAUGUCUUUCUCCACAGACACCCGGCUAGACGGAUUGUCUACGGAAUCGUACAGCUGAUAAGACACAUCACAGACAUGCCGCGAGACACUCAGACGACACGAAGAAAUCUCUCGAGAAGUUUGAAUUUCACCAAGACGCCGACAGGACGGAGGCUAAACGAGAGCAGCCUCACGCCCUGCCAGGAGGACGACCUUUCAAGUGUCACAGGACCUCGAGCCGAAGGCAGAAGGAGCGGCCGUUGAGCUUCCUUGGUUCCUCCUCGACCAUCACCUUGCAGAGGCGGCCCCGGGCACAGACUCCUUGUCACGGAACUGUCCACAAAUAUGAUGGAUUGGGGGACCAUCCGUCAUUCGCAGGAAGAACCAGUUUAGUCGUAAGGCCCCUCUUUGGCGAGCGACGAUGGCGUGCGACUACCUGUGCGGCUAGUAAUGUUAAGGUAAAAAGAAUAAAUACCUUUUACUGUACUCUCUUCCGCUGAAAGGGAUAGGAACUGUUAGUCGGGAAUGAAAGCAACAGCAACACUACACUACGGACGCAUUCAAGUACUAGGAUAUUAGAUUGUGCUAAUACACCACGGUUAUUUCCUGCGGACGGAAACUGUUGCUGUGAUAUUAAGCACAGGAUUCAGCCGUUUUUGUUUUCAAAUGCUUGGCCUCCUGGUUUAUUUCUGUACACACACACAAAAGAUAAUUAAGAAAGUUAUGAUAAAGAAACUAAAAUAAAUAACCUUGAAUUACCAAAUUACGAGCGACACCAAGUUUCUCUCAAUGGAUCUAUUCAGCCAACUCCUUGGAACGUUAUGACAGAUGUUACCAUUAAGUUCCCGGAUCUUACAGCAGCUGACUAAAUAAGGAUUGGUCCUAUUAACUAUUACUUACAGCCCGAUACGUAUAAAAACAAAAACAACUUUGUAAGUGUGUUUAGUGUUAUAGAUACUAACACAUUAGUUAAAACUAAUUCUACAAUGUAAUAAACUUGUGACCAAUAAAGAGUAGAAAAUAAUUCAUUCUGAUGUAAACAGA
rnacentral:lncRNA from 1 species